UACAGAGGGGGCAAGCGUUAUUCGGAAUUAUUGGGCGUAAAGGGCGCGUAGGCGGCCUUGCAAGUGACGGGUGAAAUCCCUCGGCUUAACCGAGGAACUGCCUGUCAAACUGCAUGGCUUGAGACCGGGAGAGGUGAGUGGAAUUCCCAGUGUAGCGGUGAAAUGCGUAGAGAUGUGGAGGAACACCAGUGGCGAAGGCGGCCUUCUGGGGCAUUCCUGACACUGAGAAGCGAAAGCUAGGGGAGCAAACAGG
rnacentral:rRNA from 1 species